rnacentral:rRNA from 1 species
GAUGAACGCUGGCGGCGUGCCUAAUACAUGCAAGUCGAGCGAACAGACGAGGAGCUUGCUCCUCUGACGUUAGCGGCGGACGGGUGAGUAACACGUGGAUAACCUACCUAUAAGACUGGGAUAACUUCGGGAAACCGGAGCUAAUACCGGAUAAUAUAUUGAACCGCAUGGUUCAAUAGUGAAAGACGGUUUUGCUGUCACUUAUAGAUGGAUCCGCGCCGCAUUAGCUAGUUGGUAAGGUAACGGCUUACCAAGGCAACGAUGCGUAGCCGACCUGGGAGGGUGAUCGGCAACACUGGAACUGAGACACGGUCCAGACUCCUACGGGAGGCAGCAGUAGGGAAUCUUCCGCAAUGGGCGAAAGCCUGACGGAGCAACGCCGCGUGAGUGAUGAAGGUCUUCGGAUCGUAAAACUCUGUUAUUAGGGAAGAACAAAUGUGUAAGUAACUAUGCACGUCUUGACGGUACCUAAUCAGAAAGCCACGGCUAACUACGUG